AUGGCUCGUGCUGUUGUUCCGUUGAAUUUUAAUGCGUUCCUUGAGAAAGCAAAGUUGAAAGAUGAUGGUAGCAAUUACACGGACUGGGUCCGUAACUUGAGGAUUAUCCUCAUUGCUGCACAGAAGAAUUACGUCCUUGAAGCACCGCUGGGUGCCAGGCCUGCUGCAGGAGCAACGCCGGAUGUUGUGAACGUCUGGCAGAGCAAAGCUGAUGACUACUCGAUAGUUCAGUGUGCCAUGCUUUACGGCUUAGAAUCGGGACUUCAACGAUGUUUUGAACGUCAUGGAGCAUAUGAGAUGUUCCAGGAGUUGAAGUUAAUAUUUCAAGCAAAUGCCCGGAUUAAGAGAUACGAAGUCUCCAAUAAGUUCUAUAGCUGCAAGAUGGAGGAGAACAGUUCUGUCAGUGAGCAUAUACUCAAAAUGUCUGGGUAUAAUAAUCACUUGAUUCAGUUGGGAGUUAAUCUUCCAGAUGACUGCGUCAUUGACAGAAUUCUCCAAUCACUGCCACCAAGCUACAAGAGCUUCGUGAUGAACUAUAAUAUGCAAGGGAUGAAUAAGACUAUUCCCGAGCUCUUCGCAAUGCUGAAAGCUGCGGAGGUAGAAAUCAAGAAGGAGCAUCAAGUGUUGAUGGUCAACAAGACCACUAGUUUCAAGAAAAAGGGCAAAGGGAAGAAGAAGGGAAACUUCAAAAAGAACGGCAAGCAAGUUGCUACUCAAGAGAAGAAACCCAAACCUGGACCUAAGCCUGAAACUGAGUGCUUCUAUUGCAAGCAGACUGGUCACUGGAAGCGGAACUGCCCCAAGUAUUUGGCGGAUAAGAAGGAUGGCAAGGUGAACAAA
rnacentral:rRNA from 1 species